rnacentral:rRNA from 1 species
UACAGAGGGUGCGAGCGUUAAUCGGAGUUACUGGGCGUAAAGGGCGCGUAGGCGGUAAUAUGAGUGUGAUGUGAAAGCCCCGGGCUUAACCUGGGAAGUGCAUCGCAAACGAUAUGACUAGAGUAUGUGAGAGGGUGGUGGAAUUUCCGGUGUAGCGGUGAAAUGCGUAGAGAUCGGAAGGAACGUCAAUGGCGAAGGCAGCCACCUGGCACAAUACUGACGCUGAGGCGCGAGAGCGUGGGGAGCGAACAGGAUUAGAUACCCUGGUAGUCCACGCUGUAAACGAUGAGAACUAAAUGUUGGCAGGGGAACCUGUCGGUAUUGAAGCUAACGCGAUAAGUUCUCCGCCUGGGAAGUACGGCCGCAAGGUUGAA